rnacentral:rRNA from 1 species
GAUGAACGCUGGCGGCGUGCCUAAUACAUGCAAGUCGAGCGAACAGAUGAGGAGCUUGCUCCUCUGACGUUAGCGGCGGACGGGUGAGUAACACGUGGAUAACCUACCUAUAAGACUGGGAUAACUUCGGGAAACCGGAGCUAAUACCGGGUAAUAUAUUGAACCGUAUGGUUCAAUAGUGAAAGACGGUUUUGCUGUCACUUAUAGAUGGAUCCGCGCCGCAUUAGCUAGUUGGUAAGGUAACGGCUUACCAAGGCAACGAUGCGUAGCCGACCUGAGAGGGUGAUCGGCCACACUGGAACUGAGACACGGUCCAGACUCCUACGGGAGGCAGCAGUAGGGAAUCUUCCGCAAUGGGCGAAAGCCUGACGGAGCAACGCCGCGUGAGUGAUGAAGGUCUUCGGAUCGUAAAACUCUGUUAUUAGGGAAGAACAAAUGUGUAAGUAACUAUGCACGUCUUGACGGUACCUAAUCAGAAAGCCACGGCUAACUACGUG